UCCCACUGGUCAAACGGGGCUCCCCCACCUCCUGACCCAGCCACCACGCAACGCCGCCCGCCCCGGCCACAAACCACCCCACGCCGCCGGCCACCACCCCGCCCCGCCCGCCGCCGGCCCCCCUGCCCAACACGCCGCCCGGUACCCGGUGCGCCACCCCCAGCUACCCCCUUCCCACCUCCAAAUCACCGUCGACCACCCCCACCACGCCGCCCCCUCCACCUGCCAUCGAAUCCCACAAAAAUCUGGCCGUCCCUAGCGCCCCACUCCUCCCUCCUCUACCCCGGUGCACCCAGCCUUCCUCCGUGCGGGCAAGCACGGCCACGUCCCGGGUCCAAUGCCGCCUGGGACCCGCGCCACCUUCCCCGAUGGAUCAGGUCUCCGCCACCGGUCCUCGAUCUAGAUCGACCACGGUCGCUGGUCCACUUCUUCUUCGGAGCGCACGUCGGAUCCGCCCCUCACCGGCCACGGCCACGGCCCUGCCCCGCGACGGCCGGCGUACACAACCCAGGCCCCACCCCGGCGCUGCCCAGCCUCCAUGGUUCACCCGAAUCUGACGAGCAGUCGUUAUUUUGUUUGGGCUGGCUGCAGAACCAUCGCAUCUCCCUCCCCUCGAGCCUUCUCCUUUGCUCCCGCCUGAUAAACAGGCAACCACGCAAGGUGAGGCUGCUGUUGUAGUUCUCUCUUUUGAUUUUUGGGAUGAAAACCUCCACCGCACUACAGUUUCCUAUUCUUUUUUCUGGAUUUUUGGUGUGCAGUGCAGCCGGAUCCAGCUAGCAGUGUGCAUCGCGCCGUCCUGUGUUUCAUUAACGACCACCAUGGCCAUCGUGAAGCGCCAGGCGGGGCGGUCCACUACUGCUUUUUGGUUUCCGUUUUUAUGUGUGUUUUGAGAUGCAUAUUGCAGUUGGCCGGCGACCAUCCCCUCAUUCUCUCCUUCACUCUUUCUUCUUCUCUUCAAGCUACCUAUUCCAGAGCAUGCAGUUCGCCGGCCUAGUCGGCAUGCAGUGCAGCUGGUCACUACUAGGAAAAUGCUAUAGGUAGACAUUUAGCAGUAGCGUUGGUUAGAUACCCCAUGUUACUGCUAUUUAGCAGUAUCGCCGGACAACACCAGCGCUGCAAGCGUACGUUAGCAGUAGCGCGGGAUUUCCCAGCCAGCGCUGCUGUUGAUGGGCCACGCUCUCGGCCCCCUUUUGCAGCUUUAGCUAUAACGCUGGGCCUCCUCCCCCGCGCUACCGCUAAGCCCACCUCUGCUUCCUCCCGCGCGCCCCUCCCCUCUCACUCACUCACUCACACGCUCACACUCACAGAUCGAAUCCCUCAAUCCCUCGAUCUGGCCGCCGCCUCGCAUUCUACACUGGUCGCCCUCCCCGCGCGGGCCCUCUUCCCCCGUUGGCCGCCCUUCCUCGUGCCGACCCUCCUCCCUGCCCCCCUGCACCGGCCAUCCUCCCCCGCCGGUUGCCCCCCCCCCCCGACGCCGGCCCUCCUCCAUUGAGAGCAUUUUGUUCUUGACGUCGACGAUGCAUAUCCCGCAUCCUCGUCGUCGAAUCGGCGAAGGACUCCCGCUUGAGCCGAGGGGCCAUGUCCGGGAUUGGGCUCCGCCGGGCUGGUACUGGGUUGUGCUACCUUCUGGUGAGCGCAGCUUAGUAAGGAGUCAGCCCGUCGUCGACCCAGAGCUUCUUUGGUGGCGGUCACGUGGGCCUGCAUUGGUGCACAGGCUUGAGUCCCCCGUGCAGGUGGUACAGCACCGUGUCACGAAGGAGGAUGCGCACGUCCAGCGCUACAUGGUUGCGUUGGCGGACGGCAGGUUCUCCAAUACCUGGCAGAUUCUUUGAGGAUCUCAUCGGAGCUAUGAUCCUGUGAUGGUUCCUUCUCUUUGGGUGUCCACCGCGGCCUACUGAACCUAGAGGAGCUAUUAUUUGAGAUGUAUUGGUGAUAUUAUAUGAUGAUCUUUGUUACAAACUACUAUAUAUGUAUUCGAUGAUGGAUUAUUAAUUACCUAUUAGUUAUUUGCUUAUUGAAUGCAAAAGAUGAGCGCGGUUUGUGCUACAAACUACUAUAUAUGUAUUCAAUGAUGGAUUAUAUGAUGAUCUUUGCUACAAACUAGGUUUGAUGAUGAUCUUUACUACAAACUAUAAAUUUUAGGUGUUUUAGUUGUUAUAUGAUGAUCUUUGCUACAAACUACUAUAUAUGUAUUCGAUGAUGGAUUAUUAAUUACCUAUUAGGAAAUGUUUGACGACGAAAGGGAAUUCGCUAUGUGCGAGUACUGCGAAGAUGAGCGGGGUCUGUGUGACAGGCCUCACCUGGUAGAAGGUCGGCGCUUCAGCAUCAAGCUACAAGAGACCUUUGAUGUUGAAACGCUUAUCCCAUGCCAUGCAAAAUGUUAUGUCUUGGAGAAGAUGGGUUUUGAAGAUCAUGAAAGCAUGGAGACAAAGAUAAUUCAACUAAGGACCCAUCAUGGUUAUGAUUUUGCUGUAAAUCUAUACAAUUAUGUGAACUCAUCCAAUUUGGUUGCCAGAAUUGAGGAGCUCUUUGCAAGGCAUAUGAUUUUCAUGAGAGUAUGCUUCUCACCUUCGAUCUUGGUGAUCCUGACAUCGACGAAAAGAAUAUGACCAUUUGGGUCCUUGUUGACACGCUUCCAGUUCUACCGCUUAUUUUCAUUUUUCAAAAAAUGUACGGAAAAUGGUAGACAGAACCUACUACUACAAUGAUGAAGCACAAUUAACUUAUAAGGAGAAAGAUGGUC